AGAGUUUGAUCCUGGCUCAGGAUGAACGCUGGCGGCGUGCUUAACACAUGCAAGUCGAACGAACCUUCGGGUUAGUGGCGGACGGGUGAGUAACGCGUGGGAAUCUGCCCUCAAGAGGGGGAUAACGGCUGGAAACGGCCGCUAAUACCCCAUAUGCCGAGAGGUGAAAAGAAAUUCGCCUGAGGAUGAGCCCGCGUCUGAUUAGCUAGUUGGUGGGGUAAGAGCUCACCAAGGCGACGAUCAGUAGCUGGUCUGAGAGGACGAUCAGCCACACUGGGACUGAGACACGGCCCAGACUCCUACGGGAGGCAGCAGUGGGGAAUUUUCCGCAAUGGGCGAAAGCCUGACGGAGCAACGCCGCGUGAGGGAUGAAGGCCUCUGGGCUGUAAACCUCUUUUCUCAAGGAAGAAGACAUGACGGUACUUGAGGAAUAAGCCACGGCUAAUUCCGUGCCAGCAGCCGCGAUAAUACGGGAGUGGCAAGCGUUAUCCGGAAUUAUUGGGCGUAAAGCGUCCGCAGGCGGCCCUGUAAGUCUGUCGUUAAAGCGUGGAGCUUAACUCCAUUUAAGCGAUGGAAACUACAGGGCUUGAGUGUGGUAGGGGCAGAGGGAAUUCCCGGUGUAGCGGUGAAAUGCGUAGAUAUCGGGAAGAACACCAGUGGCGAAGGCGCUCUGCUGGGCCAUAACUGACGCUCAUGGACGAAAGCCAGGGGAGCGAAAGGGAUUAGAUACCCCUGUAGUCCUGGCCGUAAACGAUGAACACUGGGUGUCGGGGGAAUCGACCCCCUCGGUGUCGUAGCCAACGCGUUAAGUGUUCCGCCUGGGGAGUACGCACGCAAGUGUGAAACUCGAAGGAAUUGACGGGGGCCUGCACAAGCGGUGGAGUAUGUGGUUUAAUUCGAUGCAACGCGAAGAACCUUACCAGGGUUUGACAUCCUGCGAAUCCCUUGGAAACGAGGGAGUGCCUUCGGGAGCGCAGAGACAGGUGGUGCAUGGCUGUCGUCAGCUCGUGUCGUGAGAUGUUGGGUUAAGUCCCGCAACGAGCGCAACCCACGUCUUUAGUUGCCAGCAUUCAGUUGGGCACUCUAGAGAGACCGCCGGUGAUAAACCGGAGGAAGGUGUGGAUGACGUCAAGUCAUCAUGCCCCUUACAUCCUGGGCUACACACGUACUACAAUGCUACGGACAAAGGGCAGCAAGCUCGCGAGAGUUAGCAAAUCCCAUAAACCGUGGCUCAGUUCAGAUCGUAGGCUGCAACUCGCCUACGUGAAGGAGGAAUCGCUAGUAAUCGCAGGUCAGCAUACUGCGGUGAAUACGUUCCCGGGCCUUGUACACACCGCCCGUCACACCAUGGAAGUUGGCCAUGCCCGAGGUCGUUACUCCAACC
rnacentral:rRNA from 1 species